GUGGUGGAAGGCAAUUUGGUAGGGCGUAUGGCUACCAACCUGAAGGUUGUGGGUUCAAUUCCCACCCUUUGCA